rnacentral:tRNA from 1 species
GGUGGCUGAGCGGUUGAAAGCGGCGGUCUUGAAAACCGUUAUAGGGGUGACUCUAUCCGGGGUUCGAAUCCCCGCCCCUCCGCCA